UGGAGCAUGUGGCUUAAUUUGACUCAACGCGGGAAAUCUUACCGGGUCCGGACACACUGAGGAUUGACAGACAUUUAUAUGCGCAAGUAUACAUUUAAAGAUGCUAGUUCUUUCAUGAUUAUGUGAUAGGUGGUGCAUGGCCGUUCUUAGUUCGUGGAGUGAUCUGUCUGCUUAAUUGCGUUUCAUAUUAUUAUAUAAUAUACACACAUCACGUGUGUUAUAUUAUUACUUUGAAAGCAACGAACGUGACCGUAGCCUUUUAUUAUAUACGCUACACGUAUAUUAAUUAAAGGGACCGCUGUAUCUUUCUUUAAACCAGAGUAAGGUUACGGCAAUAACAGGUCUGUGAUGCCCUUCGAUGUUCCGGGCUGCACACGUGCUACAAUGAUUAUUUCAUUAAGUAUCUACUGUGCAAUAAUAUAUUAUUAUUAUUCAAAACCUACUCUGAGAAUGAGCGGGUAAUCAAUUAGAAGUAAUGAUUUCCAAAUUUAUACACUCAUGUACCGUAUAUAUUAUCCCAUAUUUUAAUUAAUAUGCGUGUAUAAUAUUGUACGCUGUACGUAUAUUUAUUAAUUCAUGGUGGGGAUAGACUAUUGUUAAUUGUUGGUCUCGGUCUUAACUAGGAAUGCCUUGUACGGGUCAUUGGUUCAACAGACCACCCGGAAUACGUCCCUGCCCUUUGUACACACCGCCCGUCGCUCUUACCGAUGAACUUCGCUAUGAAUCUAUUGGACUGUACCAUUGUGGUAUGGAAAGAUAUAUGAAUAGUGUGGUUUAAAGGAAAGAGAAGUCGUAACAAGGCA
rnacentral:rRNA from 1 species